rnacentral:tRNA from 1 species
CCCUCGAUAGCUCAGCUGGCAGAGCGGAGGACUGUAGAUGUUACAACGGUGAUCCUUAGGUCGCUGGUUCAAAUCCGGCUCGAGAGA